rnacentral:tRNA from 1 species
GGGCGGGUAGUCUAGAGCGUAAGGUGCGGGGAACUUGGUAUGACCGGGUUUGGGACCCGGAGGCCCUGGGUUCAAAUCCCAGCCCGCCCACCA